ACAACUGGGAAUAUAUUUAUUUGAGAAAGUACAAUCGGGAAUAUGCUCUUUUUAUGCACAUGUACAUGUUUUUCCAGUUCUGUCUAUAUCAUCCUUGCCACUGCUGCUUAGUCAGCUGCAAAAAAAUAACACAUCGCUGUCAAAUUUACCAAGGAACAUUCUUAUAGAACCAUAACUAUAGGUCAUGCGUUAAUUAAAUCGAGACAUGAUGAUUAUAAGUGGACGUGUGAUGAUAGUACCAUACAAUUAUAAAGCUUAAAUUGUGAGGAGAGGGGGAAAGGAGGCCGGGAGAUGUGUUUAAAGUCCAAAGAGAAGCUAUAAGAAGCCAAUAUUAAGCAAAUUUUUAACAGGCAAAACAAAUCAAAGAUAUCAAAUGUGUGGCCAAAAGACUAUUUAACCUACAUUAUGAACAAAAUUCAUUAUAAUCUGAUGCAAAAUUACCUUGAUUACAAGAUUAGGAGUCUCCGUUGACCACACUUUUGAAAACAAUUACCUCAUAUACUGAGUAGAAGAAAUACAUAAACUAGACACAGGUGCACAUAUACAGCACAUAUGGUAUGUAAAUUGAUCGUUCGGAGAUGGAAAAAAAACACAGUGAAAUCAGGUUUAAAACAAACACUCAUACAUUGACUUGGAAAAAUCAAAUUGAAAACGAAGGGGAUCAUGUGGGGGGUAUAUUUUAAUUGUGUGUUGACUUCUAGGAGGCCAUUAGAUUAGAUUCAUUUAAGUGCUUAAAUUAGUUUGUAGUCUUUAUUUCAAUUUUGAUUUGUAUUUCAGCAAUUGCCUGUAUAUACUAGGAAAAUUUCUGUGACUUUAUUUUUGUAUGUUCUGAGUUCCAACAAACAAUUUGUUUGCCAAUUUUGUGCCAAUAAAGGUACUCUUUUUCCUAGUUUACCCAGUCUUUAAUAUAUUCCAGCUGACAAGACAGCAGAUUAUAAUUUCAACCUGAGUAGUGAGUACAUUGCCACAUUUCAUGCUGCCAUCCACUAUUUUACAGGUAGAUGAGAAUCACAUAUUUGCAAACGAGGAAGGUAAAGAUUACCUGAGAUUACCACUCAUGCCAUCGAUGGUAGUUCCACCUGUAUUCUCCUCCCAUCUAGUGUACUGAGGGUUCAAGCCUUUAUCAAUGUGCCUGCCUAUAUAUAUCCUCAUGCACAUUAUCAUUAAUACAUAAACAAAACAUAUUAGCUUACGUCACAUAGUUAUGCACAAUAACAAAAACUAUCAUCAAUGAAAAGAUAAUUACUAACCUGUUCCCACCAAAGGUUGACUCAUAAACAACACAGUUGUAUUCUAAAAUUUGGCAACUUGCAUUGUAUAACAGAGAUCCCAUGUUAACUUUGAGAAGCGUCAGGAAGGAAUGGAGUAACAAGAAGAAAGGAUACGUACAUAAAGAAGAAUACACGCAGGUGGUGUUAGUUCCUUCCAGAAUUUUAAACACCAAUU
rnacentral:lncRNA from 1 species